AUGCAUGAUCAGGUCGGCCUAGACCUGGACGGUUUCCCGCUCGACCACGAGAUUCCAGAGGACUACGGACUCCAGGAAGAGGAUGAAUUGGACAUCAAAGGGGAGCCUUUGUUCGAGGACAAGCUGGCCAACCAAGCCACCGGGGGGAAGAAGCGCAAGAGCAUGCAGACCAAGGCAUACACGGCGGCCCAGCACAAGCUCCUUUGUGAGUGUUGGAGGUACAUUGGGAAAGACCCCAAGAUCUGCGCCGAACAAAAGGCAUUAACCUUUUGGACUCGUGUCUAUCGCGAGUUCCAUGAGCGCAAGAAGUUUCCGUCGUACCAAAUACAUAGCACGCGUGGGUGGGUGUCCAUUUCGAAGCGUUGGAAGGUGAUCCAAUAA
rnacentral:rRNA from 1 species